UACGAAGGGGGCUAGCGUUGCUCGGAAUCACUGGGCGUAAAGGGUGCGUAGGCGGCGCGGUAAGUCGGGUGUGAAAUUUCGGAGCUUAACUCCGAAACUGCAUUCGAUACUGCCGUGCUUGAGGACUGGAGAGGAGACUGGAAUUUACGGUGUAGCAGUGAAAUGCGUAGAGAUCGUAAGGAAGACCAGUGGCGAAGGCGGGUCUCUGGACAGUUCCUGACACUGAGGCACGAAGGCCAGGGGAGCAAACGGG
rnacentral:rRNA from 1 species